rnacentral:lncRNA from 1 species
GCAUGACAUUGGGUCCUGUGUAAAGUCCGGUUUGUGAAUAGAUUUCCACACAAUGGUUAGUAUUGGCCCCGAAUAUUAUCAUAUCCCCUCUCAGGCGACGUUUUUCUAAACUAAAUAGGAUUUAAAUUUGUUAACCUUUCUUCAUAGCUGAUAUGUUCCAUUCCUUUUAUUAAUUUUGUAGCCCACCUCUGCACUUUUUCUAUUGCCAUAAUAUCCUUCUUUAG